rnacentral:rRNA from 1 species
GCGUAGUCGAUGGGAAACGGGUUAAUAUUCCCGUACUUGGUGUUACUGCGAAGGGGGGACGGAGAAGGCUAUGUUGGCCGGGCGACGGUUGUCCCGGUUUAAGCGUGUAGGUGUGUGUUCCAGGUAAAUCCGGUUCACUUUAACACUGAGGCGUGAUGACGAGGCACUACGGUGCUGAAGCAACAAAUGCCCUGCUUCCAGGAAAAGCCUCUAAGCAUCAGGUAACAUCAAAUCGUACCCCAAACCGACACAGGUGGUCAGGUAGAGAAUACCAAGGCGCUUGAGAGAACUCGGGUGAAGGAACUAGGCAAAAUGGUGCCGUAACUUCGGGAGAAGGCACGCUGACACGUAGGUGAAGUGAUUUACUCAUGGAGCUGAAGUCAGUCGAAGAUACCAGCUGGCUGCAACUGUUUAUUAAAAACACAGCACUGUGCAAACACGAAAGUGGACGUAUACGGUGUGACGCCUGCCCGGUGCCGGAAGGUUAAUUGAUGGGGUCAGCGCAAGCGAAGCUCCUGAUCGAAGCCCCGGUAAACGGCGGCCGUAACUAUAACGGUCCUAAGGUAGCGAAAUUCCUUGUCGGGUAAGUUCCGACCUGCACGAAUGGCGUAAUGAUGGCCAGGCUGUCUCCACCCGAGACUCAGUGAAAUUGAACUCGCUGUGAAGAUGCAGUGUACCCGCGGCAAGACGGAAAGACCCCGUGAACCUUUACUAUAGCUUGACACUGAACAUUGAGCCUUGAUGUGUAGGAUAGGUGGGAGGCUUUGAAGUGUGGACGCCAGUCUGCAUGGAGCCGGCCUUGAAAUACCACCCUUUAAUGUUUGAUGUUCUAACGUGGACCCGUGAUCCGGGUUGCGGACAGUGUCUGGUGGGUAGUUUGACUGGGGCGGUCUCCUCCUAAAGAGUAACGGAGGAGCACGAAGGUUGGCUAAUCCUGGUCGGACAUCAGGAGGUUAGUGCAAUGGCAUAAGCCAGCUUGACUGCGAGCGUGACGGCGCGAGCAGGUGCGAAAGCAGGUCAUAGUGAUCCGGUGGUUCUGAAUGGAAGGGCCAUCGCUCAACGGAUAAAAGGUACUCCGGGGAUAACAGGCUGAUACCGCCCAAGAGUUCAUAUCGACGGCGGUGUUUGGCACCUCGAUGUCGGCUCAUCACAUCCUGGGGCUGAAGUAGGUCCCAAGGGUAUGGCUGUUCGCCAUUUAAAGUGGUACGCGAGCUGGGUUUAGAACGUCGUGAGACAGUUCGGUCCCUAUCUGCCGUGGGCGCUGGAGAACUGAGGGGGGCUGCUCCUAGUACGAGAGGACCGGAGUGGACGCAUCACUGGUGUUCGGGUUGUCAUGCCAAUGGCACUGCCCGGUAGCUAAAUGCGGAAGAGAUAAGUGCUGAAAGCAUCUAAGCACGAAACUUGCCCCGAGAUGAGUUCUCCCUGAGACUUAGAGUCUCCUGAAGGAACGUUGAAGACGACGACGUUGAUAGGCCGGGUGUGUAAGCGCAGCGAUGCGUUGAG